GGGUUGUGAGGUUAAGCGACUAAGCGUACACGGUGGAUGCCCUGGCAGUCAGAGGCGAUGAAGGACGUGCUAAUCUGCGAAAAGCGUCGGUAAGGUGAUAUGAACCGUUAUAGCCGGCGAUAUCCGAAUGGGGAAACCCAGUGCAAUUCGUUGCACUAUCGUUUGAUGAAUACAUAGUCAAACGAGGCGAACCGGGGGAACUGAAACAUCUAAGUACCCCGAGGAAAAGAAAUCAACCGAGAUUCCCCCAGUAGCGGCGAGCGAACGGGGAGCAGCCCGGAGUCUGAAUCAGCUUGUGUGUUAGUGGAAGCGUCUGGAAAGUCGCAGGGUACAGGGUGAUACUCCCGUACACUAAAACGCACAGGCUGUGAACUCGAAGAGUAGGGCGGGACACGUGGUAUCCUGUCUGAAUAUGGGGGGACCAUCCUCCAAGGCUAAAUACUCCUGACUGACCGAUAGUGAACCAGUACCGUGAGGGAAAGGCGAAAAGAACCCCGGCGAGGGGAGUGAAAAAGAACCUGAAACCGUGUACGUACAAGCAGUAGGAGCCCACUAGUUGGGUGACUGCGUACCUUUUGUAUAAUGGGUCAGCGACUUAUAUUCUGUAGCAAGGUUAACCGUAUAGGGGAGCCGCAGGGAAACCGAGUCUUAACUGGGCGUUAAGUUGCAGGGUAUAGACCCGAAACCCGGUGAUCUAGCCAUGGGCAGGUUGAAGGUUGGGUAACACUAACUGGAGGACCGAACCGACUAAUGUUGAAAAAUUAGCGGAUGACUUGUGGCUGGGGGUGAAAGGCCAAUCAAACCGGGAGAUAGCUGGUUCUCCCCGAAAGCUAUUUAGGUAGCGCCUCGUGAACUCAUCUUCGGGGGUAGAGCACUGUUUCGGCUAGGGGGUCAUCCCGACUUACCAACCCGAUGCAAACUACGAAUACCGAAGAAUGUUAUCACGGGAGACACACGGCGGGUGCUAACGUCCGUCGUGAAGAGGGAAACAACCCAGACCGCCAGCUAAGGUCCCAAAGUCAUGGUUAAGUGGGAAACGAUGUGGGAAGGCCCAGACAGCCAGGAUGUUGGCUUAGAAGCAGCCAUCAUUUAAAGAAAGCGUAAUAGCUCACUGGUCGAGUCGGCCUGCGCGGAAGAUGUAACGGGGCUAAACCAUGCACCGAAGCUGCGGCAGCGACGCUUAUGCGUUGUUGGGUAGGGGAGCGUUCUGUAAGCCGUUGAAGGUGGCCUGUGAGGGUUGCUGGAGGUAUCAGAAGUGCGAAUGCUGACAUAAGUAACGAUAAUGCGGGUGAAAAACCCGCACGCCGGAAGACCAAGGGUUCCUGUCCAACGUUAAUCGGGGCAGGGUGAGUCGACCCCUAAGGCGAGGCCGAAAGGCGUAGUCGAUGGGAAACAGGUUAAUAUUCCUGUACUCGGUGUUACUGCGAAGGGGGGACGGAGAAGGCUAUGUUGGCCGGGCGACGGUUGUCCCGGUUUAAGCAUGUAGGCGGAUGUUCCAGGUAAAUCCGGAACGUUACUAACGCUGAGGUGUGAUGACGAGGCACUACGGUGCUGAAGUGACAAAUGCCCUGCUUCCAGGAAAAGCCUCUAAGCAUCAGGUAACAUCAAAUCGUACCCCAAACCGACACAGGUGGUCAGGUAGAGAAUACCAAGGCGCUUGAGAGAACUCGGGUGAAGGAACUAGGCAAAAUGGUGCCGUAACUUCGGGAGAAGGCACGCUGAUGGUAGGUGAAGUGACUUGCUCAUGGAGCUGAAAUCAGUCGAAGAUACCAGCUGGCUGCAACUGUUUAUUAAAAACACAGCACUGUGCAAACACGAAAGUGGACGUAUACGGUGUGACGCCUGCCCGGUGCCGGAAGGUUAAUUGAUGGGGUUAUCCGUAAGGAGAAGCUCUUGAUCGAAGCCCCGGUAAACGGCGGCCGUAACUAUAACGGUCCUAAGGUAGCGAAAUUCCUUGUCGGGUAAGUUCCGACCUGCACGAAUGGCGUAAUGAUGGCCAGGCUGUCUCCACCCGAGACUCAGUGAAAUUGAACUCGCUGUGAAGAUGCAGUGUACCCGCGGCAAGACGGAAAGACCCCGUGAACCUUUACUAUAGCUUGACACUGAACACUGGUCCUUGAUGUGUAGGAUAGGUGGGAGGCUUUGAAGUGUGGACGCCAGUCUGCAUGGAGCCAUCCUUGAAAUACCACCCUUUAAUGGCUGGUGUUCUAACGUGGGCCCCUAAUCGGGGUUGCGGACAGUGUCUGGUGGGUAGUUUGACUGGGGCGGUCUCCUCCUAAAGAGUAACGGAGGAGCACGAAGGUCAGCUAAUCCUGGUCGGACAUCAGGAGGUUAGUGCAAUGGCAUAAGCUGGCUUGACUGCGAGCGUGACGGCGCGAGCAGGUGCGAAAGCAGGUCAUAGUGAUCCGGUGGUUCUGAAUGGAAGGGCCAUCGCUCAACGGAUAAAAGGUACUCCGGGGAUAACAGGCUGAUACCGCCCAAGAGUUCAUAUCGACGGCGGUGUUUGGCACCUCGAUGUCGGCUCAUCACAUCCUGGGGCUGAAGUAGGUCCCAAGGGUAUGGCUGUUCGCCAUUUAAAGUGGUACGCGAGCUGGGUUUAGAACGUCGUGAGACAGUUCGGUCCCUAUCUGCCGUGGGCGCUGGAGAAUUGAGGGGGGCUGCUCCUAGUACGAGAGGACCGGAGUGGACGCAUCACUGGUGUUCGGGUUGUCAUGCCAAUGGCAUUGCCCGGUAGCUAAAUGCGGAAGAGAUAAGUGCUGAAAGCAUCUAAGCACGAAACUUGCCCCGAGAUGAGUUCUCCCUGACUCCUUGAGAGUCCUGAAGGAACGUUGAAGACGACGACGUUGAUAGGCCGGGUGUGUAAGCGCAGCGAUGCGUUGAGCUAACCGGUACUAAUGAACCGUGAGGCUUAACCUUACAACGCCGAAG
rnacentral:rRNA from 1 species